CGUGAGAUCGAUGGCCAUCCGGCUUACACGGUUCGGAGAAUCGUGGAUUCCCGUCGUCGCGGUAGGGGGUGGCAGUAUCUCGUAGAUUGGGAGGGUUACGGCCCUGAGGAGCGUUCCUGGGUCCCGGGGUCUUACAUUCUGGACCCGUCCCUUAUUUCUGAUUACCGGGCUUCGCUUCCCUCUACCUCGUCUGGGUUGCCUAGAGGCAACCGUUAGGGGGGGGUACUGUCAGGGUCUUGGGGGUGUUCUUAGCGUUUUGUCGCCAUGGGUUUGGGUGGUUGUGCUUAUUCUUUUCCACCAGAGGGCGCUGUCAGGACGGUGGGCUGGAUUACGUCAGCGAGCACACCGGUUGCGAGUUGAGCUCAUCAGGAGCGGCGUCUUCAGGAGCAACCUGCCAGUCUUCGGCGCCUGAGUGUCUUCCCGUAUUGACCAUUCACCCGAUGCAGUGGAAGGAUUUCCCGUUGUGCUGAGUUUCUCGACUCACCUUCUCUGUGCAACAACAGGCUCCCCUCGGAUUCCUUGGCUGGCUGCUCCUCGCUCCUCGUGCCUCGCUCCUCGUCCUGCUCCGCGUUUCCACCGUGGACACCGAGCCCACCUGUCCGCCCGCCUACACACACACACACCCUGCCGCUACCCUGCAGUGAAUAUCUUCCACGCUUCAGCUGUCUACCCCUCAAGUAAGACUGUUCCUGUUUACCCUCACACCGUGUUUCCGACUGUCCCUGAACUCACCACCUUAUCUGUUUACAUAGUUCCCGAUCGCUUCCCCUCCCGAGACGCUCCUGUGGACCGGACCCGAAUCCCUGUCAUUCCUCGUUCACUGUUGUGUAAAAUAAACCUUGUAAAUAUUUGCACUCCA